rnacentral:rRNA from 1 species
GGGUCAGUAGGUUGGUCGUGCCACCGGUACGUACUGGUCUCACUGAUUCCUCCUCCCUGAAGAACCGUAAUGCCAUUAAUUUGGUGUUGCGGGGAAACAGGACUGUUACUUUGAAAAAAUUAGAGUGUUUAAAGCAAGCUAACGCUUGAAUACAUUAGCAUGGAAUAAUGAAAUAGGACGAUCGAUCCUAUUCUCUUGGUUUCUAGGAUUGACGUA